rnacentral:rRNA from 1 species
UUUUAUGAGAGUUUGAUCCUGGCUCAGGACGAACGCUGGCGGCGUGCCUAAUACAUGCAAGUCGAACGCUUCUUUUUCCACCGGAGCUUGCUCCACCGGAAAAAGAAGAGUGGCGAACGGGUGAGUAACACGUGGGUAACCUGCCCAUCAGAAGGGGAUAACACUUGGAAACAGGUGCUAAUACCGUAUAACAAUCGAAACCGCAUGGUUUUGAUUUGAAAGGCGCUUUCGGGUGUCGCUGAUGGAUGGACCCGCGGUGCAUUAGCUAGUUGGUGAGGUAACGGCUCACCAAGGCCACGAUGCAUAGCCGACCUGAGAGGGUGA